GUUAGGAACGCUGUAGGGAACUGUGCCCAAAGGUACGGAAUAGCCUCGGGAAACUGAGAGUAAUACCGUAUGUGCCCCUCGGGGGAAAGAUUUAUCGCCUUUGGAUCGGCCCGCGUUGGAUUAGGUAGUUGGUGGGGUAAUGGCCUACCAAGCCUACGAUCCAUAGCUGGUUUGAGAGGAUGAUCAGCAACACUGGGACUGAGACACGGCCCAGACUCCUACGGGAGGCAGCAGUGGGGAAUCUUAGACAAUGGGGGAAACCCUGAUCUAGCCAUGCCGCGUGAGCGAUGAAGGCCUUAGGGUUGUAAAGCUCUUUCAGAUGGGAAGAUAAUGACGGUACCAUCAGAAGAAGCCCCGGCUAACUCCGUGCCAGCAGCCGCGGUAAUACGGAGGGGGCUAGCGUUGUUCGGAAUUACUGGGCGUAAAGCGCGCGUAGGCGGAUUGGAAAGUUGGGGGUGAAAUCCCAGGGCUCAACCCU
rnacentral:rRNA from 1 species